rnacentral:rRNA from 1 species
GUACACGCUGUGACUAGCAUAUCAAUAAGCGGAGGAAAAGGAGUAUACCUACGCUUAGGAUGUUGACGAGACUGUCGAUCUCAUCUAUACAUGACUCUGUGCAUAUCAAUAAGCGGAGGAAAAGAAACUAACAAGGAUUCCCCUAGUAACGGCGAGUGAAGUGGGAAGAGCUCAAAUUUGAAAUCUUAAAGGGUUUCCCUUUACGAAUUGUAGUUUAAAGAAGUGUUUUCUGUUGAGGUUUUGGUAAAAGUUCUUUGGAAUAGGACAUCAUAGAGGGUGAGAAUCCCGUAUUUGACCUUUACUUUCAACUUUGUGAUACACUUUCAAAGAGUCGGAUUGUUUGGGAAUGCAGUCCAAAAUGGGUGGUAAAUUUCAUCCUAAAGCUAAAUAUUGGCGAGAGACCGAUAGCGAACAAGUACCGUGAGGGAAAGAUGAAAAGAACUUUGAAAAGAGAGUUAAACAGUACGUGAAAUUGUCAAAAGGGAAGCGUUUGACACCAGUGUUGUUUUUCUGAAAAUCAAUUAAAGAACUGUUUAUGCUAAGUUGUUUAGACUUUAUCAGCUAACUGUUUAGUUUUGAGCUUUUCUUUAAUGCACUUUUCAGUUAACAAGUCAACAUCAAUUUCUUUUGCUGUAAAAAAGCUUGAGGAAGGUGGCUUGAGAUUCGUCUUAAGUGUUUAUAGCCUCUUGCCUAUGCAGUCGGAGAGAUUGAGGUCUGCAGCGUAGAUCCUUCGGGGCUAAAUGCAUUUGUGCUAAGUUAUAGCAUUUUAUAGACAACUUGUUGACUAUGAUUUGUCUUGUAGCUUACUCGCUUAUGUUAUUUUACCUACGCUUAGGAUGUUGAGCGCAUGUCUCUCUCU